UAUAGUUACUGUAACUUUGGCCAUGGUGCCCCCCACCAAAUAUGCCCAACUAAAGGCCAAGUGGCCUUGCCCCUAAAAUGCAAAAGUAUGCAAAAGCUCCUUCCCAGACUGUAUGGGAAUACAUUCAAUGAUGCGUUGAAAUGCAAAUAGAAUCAGUGCAUAAGCGAGGUACACAUGAGGUUUGCAUGUCAAUGACAGUGGAUCUGCUCAUCCAUUUCCAUCUCAUCCAUGGGAGGCACAGAGACAAUGCAGCUGGCUUUCCUCACCAUCUUCGUUAUCUGUCUUCAUAAUGCUUGUUUCUGGGAGUGCUCUUGCCAAGCGUCUGAUUUCAACCUUGAUGGUGACUAUCUGAUCGGAGGUCUGUUCCCUGUUCACUAUGCAGAACACUCAGGCCAGCAAAGGAGACCUGUUGCUAUCAAGUGUGAUGAAAAGUCAUUCUUCCUGACUGGCUAUCAUUUGCUCCAGGUCAUGAGGUUUGCCGUUGAGGAGAUCAACAACUUGACCUCCCUCUUGCCAAACGUCUCCCUUGGUUACCAGCUCUUUGAUCACUGCUCCAGCACCUACAACUUCCCCUCCAGCCUACAGUUCUUCUCCUCCCACAACGACUCCAUCAAAGUCAGGGAAGACUACAACCGCUACCUGCCUAAAGUCAUCGGUUUCACCGGCCCCUUGAGCAGCUCAGAGAGUGUAUCCCUUGCUCCCCUCUUCAUGAUGGACCUCAUCCCAAUGAUCAGUUAUGGAGCCUCCAGUAGCAUUUUCAGUGACAAAAAACUGUAUCCUUCAUUCCUACGGACUGUACCAAGUAACAAAGACCAGAUUGAACUCAUCAUUCAGAUCAUAAAGCAUUUUGGCUGGAACUGGGUGGCUUUCAUUGGCACUACAACCACUUACAGCCAGGAUGGUUUUCAACUGUUUUAUGACCUGAUUGAAAAUGUAGGUAUCUGUCUGGCUUACUACGGGAUUCUGACUGAAACAUCACAAUUAAACACAAUAUUUGAAACUAUAGAUAUGCUCCACAUUAAAGUCAUAAUCCUUUUCGUUGAGGAGCUGAAGGCUGCGGAGGUCAUCCAUUUGGCAAUACAACACAAAUUUCAAAAUAAAGUCUGGAUUGCUGGAGAAGCCUGGUCCAUGUACCAGCCUCUGACCAAACAGCAGGGGAUUGAGACCAUUGGCACCAUCAUUGGAGUGACACCACAUGUUGCUAAGCUCCCCGGCUUCAGCAACUUCAUCCAUCAGUCGAGAAUGGGAGGCAACUGCAAGUCUUGCCACAGUGGGGCAGGCCUAUCAGACGAAGCUGUUUGCAAUCAGGACUGUGAGGCUUGUUCUUCACAAAGUGCUGAGGACAUUAUCAACGAGGGCAAUGCUUACUCCUUCUCAGUGUAUUCAGCUGUAUACGUCAUGGCGAUGGCUUUACACAAUGCUCUACAAUGCAACCACUCAGGAUGCAACACAAGUCGCACAGUCUAUCCCUACAUGCUUCUUCGUGAGAUGAAACGCUUACCUAUGUUCUCCUUGAACCAAUUGAAUGUGUACUUUGAUGAGAAUGGCGACCCGCCAGCACAUUACUCAGUCGUCUUCUGGAACACUGCUGACCACACAGUAAAGAUCCAGCCGAUUGGCACAUAUGACAACCAACAGGUGGUGAACCUCUCUAUUGAUGACAUGCAGAUCCACUGGCAUGGUGAUGGCUUGGUGCCAUUCUCCAACUGCUCUGCUGAGUGUAAGCCAGGACAUGUUCGGCAGCAGGAAGGCCAACAUCACUGCUGUUUCACUUGUGUGGAAUGCCCCAUUAACCAGUAUACCAACCACACAGCUGACCUCUACUCCUGUCUGAAGUGUGACCAGUAUGACUGGUCCGAGGCUGGAAGCACGUCAUGCCAGAAACGUUCUGUGGAAUUCCUCCACUUCUCCGAUGUCAUCCCCAUUCUAAUCCUGCUCUCCGCAUCCUCACUCAUGCUCCUGUGUCUGGGGGUGGCCGUGCUGUUUGCCAUUCACUACUCCACGCCUGUAGUGCGGUCAGCAGGGGGCAGCAUGUGCUUCCUGAUGUUGGGCUGCCUCGCCGCGUCCUCCAUAAGCAUCUUCUUCUACUUUGGCGAGCCCUCAGCUCUGAGCUGCUUGCUCAGAAGCACACCCCUUACCUUUUUCUACACCGUCUGCUUGUCCUGCCUAUUAGUCCGCUCUGUAUCGAUCAUCUGCAUCUUCAAAAUGGCUUCCCACCUGCCCAAAGCGUAUGCAUUGUGGGUGAAGUACAGUGGGCAUUGGCUGUUAGUGGCUGGGGUGUCGUUUUUCCAGCUUAUCCUGUGUGUGAUCGCAAUUACAGUCAGUCCUCCCAUGCCAAUCAAUGACAUGCAGUCCUUCAAAGAUCAGGUAGUGCUUAGAUGCAUUGAAAAAGCUUUAAUCCCUGUAGGUUUUGGUCUAGGCCUCAUGUGUAGUGUCAGUGGUGUCUGCUUCCUCUUAUCCUACAUGGGAAAAGACCUGCCGAAGAACUACAACGAGGCCAAAGCCAUCACUUUCUGCAUACUGGUGUCUUUUCUGAGCUGGGCUGCCUAUCUUGAAGCUUAUAUGUUGUCCCGCAGCAAGUAUGUGCAGUUGAUCAAAGCUAUAGUUGAGCUGAGCUGUUUGUAUGGCAUCAUGUUCAGUUACUUCAUCCCAAAGUCCUUCAUCAUUGUCUUUCAGCCUCAAAAGAACACACAGGAGUAUUUCCAAGCCAGCAUUCAGAGUUACACACAAACUAUUAGUAGAAUGUAGAUUUGUGUUGGAGGCAUAACAGGAUAUAAAAAUAGAAAUGUGUCAGGUGAGCACCAUUUGAAAUGACAUACACACAUCUAUAAAGGGGUAGACUAUAUAACAGCCAAUUUGUUCUCUUUUUUUUUUUUCAAAUGAUAGUUUUGUACAUGUAUUUUUUUUUUUUUUACCAUAUGGCGGAGUAUGAUGCAAAUUGUUAUUCAAAACAGGAACUUAACGCUCCAGUAAUUUCAGCCCGACUUUGCAUACAGGAGCUCAGUCUGUCUGCUCAGUCUGCUGACUGGAUAAUUUAUGGGCCAGAGCCCAAACAAAGCACAGAUCCUGUUAAGGUUACAUCCAAUACCAAUCCAGACCAAGCACAUUCCAGUACCAGUCUGAAUCCAGUCCAAACCAGACAAGCUCUAGUUCAGGUCCAGACCAACUCCAAUUCCAGGCCAGACUCAAUUCAAACCCAGACUAGAGUAUUCGUUCUAAUUUGGUAGUCAGAUAAAGCAGCAUUUUCAUUUUGCUUACUUUAAUUAGUGGAUAGGGCACUGACAUUUUUCCAAUAAAUAAAAGUAGUUUUAAUGCAGACUGAUCUUUCCUCCAAGUAAAUAGCACUCCUAAACUGCAAACAGUCCCAUGCUGUUAAUUUAAAUAUUCAAAAGACAUUCUUUUGUAGUAUGUUUUGAAGGUUCACAUCCCUUCCACUGUGAUCCCAACAGCCUAAUGUGUUGGUAAAAGGUACCAGCAUUACUUAAUACACAGUAAUAGUUAUCAUCUGAAAGUUCUACGUCAUUUUGUUUGUGUUUACAUUUGUGUUGUUAUUUACAUAAAAGACAUUUAUAUCAUAUUCACAGCCAUAUUUUUGUUAUUUGUGUGUGGGUAUUUGUUUGUGUGUAUUUGUUUGAUUUUUUUAUUUGACUUUUUUAUUUCUUUGUAUAAUGUUUCAUAAUUUACAUUUUAAACUGAAAUGUGAGAGAUAAUUUCCCAUGAAGGUAAAUCCAGUUCAAUCUUCAGAAUUCAUCCACGCGAUGAUGUGGAACACUGACACUUCUUACGACCCCUGUUCAAUUUCACUGUUAUUCUGGCCUCAGGGGACCCUGCCAACCAAUGGGAAUGGAGUGAAAAUCUUUCCACCCUAAAUGUCCACAAGGGGGGAGCCUAACAUCAUACCAGGCAACUGACACGGCCUCCGACUACUGUACCCUAGCCUAAGUGUUGUUGUAAAAGUUUCCACAACGAGUCUUGCAGAGAAAUGUGAAAUGCAGAGGGGAGAGGAUGACAGUGAUGGGAUUCAAAUGUAUUCUGCUCUGUGGGUGACAUGUUACUGUGCAGCUGAUGAAACUCCAAGAGAAUGUCUGCUGUCUUCAGCACAGCAGAUCAGCUCAGACACCAGCCUACUGUACCUGCCUUCACCUGUACCUGCAUUUCCACAUUUUACAGAAAUCUCCCCCCCUCUCUCAUCCACACCUGUCACAUGCAUUCAUACAUGCUGUAAGAGAAGUCUAUGCAUGUUAAAUAUAUUACACCAGGGCCUCGUGGGAGUUGAGGGAAGGGGAGAUUUCCUUCAUUAUUCAUGCAUUCACUCCAU